rnacentral:rRNA from 1 species
AUUGAACGCUGGCGGCAUGCUUUACACAUGCAAGUCGAACGGUAACAGGUUAAGCUGACGAGUGGCGAACGGGUGAGUAAUGCAUCGGAACGUGCCCGGUCGUGGGGGAUAACACUUCGAAAGAAGUGCUAAUACCGCAUACGAUCUGAGGAUGAAAGCGGGGGACCGUAAGGCCUCGCGCGAUCGGAGCGGCCGAUGUCAGAUUAGGUAGUUGGUGGAGUAAAGGCCUACCAAGCCGACGAUCUGUAGCUGGUCUGAGAGGACGACCAGCCGCACUGGGACUGAGACACGGCCCAGACUCCUACGGGAGGCAGCAGUGGGGAAUUUUGGACAAUGGGCGCAAGCCUGAUCCAGCAAUGCCGCGUGCAGGAAGAAGGCCUUCGGGUUGUAAACUGCUUUAAGUCGGGAGGAAGGGCUGUAGGUUAAUACCUUGCAGCCUUGACGUUACCGACAGAAUAAGCACCGGCUAACUUCGUGCCAGAAGCCGCCGUAAUAC